rnacentral:tmRNA from 1 species
GGGGGCGACCGGUUUUGACAGCUUGCAGAGUUUGAUUGUAAGCACGUCGAGCAUUGUGUGGUGGCUCGUAAAUAUCAACACUCAAACUACAAAUGGCAAUAAUAGCUAUGCACUCGCUGCCUAAUUUUCAAGGAAAAUUGGCUUAAUCCGCGAGCCCAAGGAGGUUUGCAGACGAGUAUCCCGAGCGGUGGCUUCGCCCUUUAGCUGCUGGUCAUAUGGGGUAUCAUCUUUUAAGGGAUAGUGCGCUAUGCGUCUCGGUUAGC